rnacentral:rRNA from 1 species
AGCGGCGGACGGGUGAGUAACACGUGGGUAACCUGCCCAAGAGACUGGGAUAACACCUGGAAACAGAUGCCAACACCGGAUAACAACACUAGACGCAUGUCUAGAGUUUGAAAGAUGGUUCUGCUAUCACUCUUGGAUGGACCUGCGGUGCAUUAGCUAGUUGGUAAGGUAACGGCUUACCAAGGCAAUGAUGCAUAGCCGAGUUGAGAGACUGAUCGUCCACAUUGGGACUGAGACACGGCCCAAACUCCUACGGGAGGCAGCAGUAGGGAAUCUUCCACAAUGGACGAAAGUCUGAUGGAGCAACGCCGCGUGAGUGAAGAAGGGUUUCGGCUCGUAAAGCUCUGUUGGUAGUGAAGAAAGAUAGAGGUAGUAACUGGCCUUUAUUUGACGGUAAUUACUUAGAAAGUCACGGCUAACUACGUGCCAGCAGCCGCGGUAAUACGUAGGUGGCAAGCGUUGUCCGGAUUUAUUGGGCGUAAAGCGAGUGCAGGCGGUUCAAUAAGUCUGAUGUGAAAGCCUUCGGCUCAACCGGAGAAUUGCAUUAGAAACUGUUGAACUUGAGUGCAGAAGAGGAGAGUGGAACUCCAUGUGUAGCGGUGGAAUGCGUAGAUAUAUGGAAGAACACCAGUGGCGAAGGCGGCUCUCUGGUCUGCAACUGACGCUGAGGCUCGAAAGCAUGGGUAGCGAACAGGAUUAGAUACCCCGGUAGUCCUGGCCGUAAACGAUGGGUACUAGGUGU